rnacentral:rRNA from 1 species
GGUUAAGUGACUAAGCGUACACGGUGGAUGCCUUGGCAGUCAGAGGCGAUGAAGGACGUAUUAACUUGCGAUAAGCCCAGUUUAGAUAGUAAAAAUCACUUGAGACUGGGAUUUCCGAAUGGGGAAACCCACGUGCAUAAGCACGUAUCGUUACGUGAAUACAUAGCGUAACGAGGCGAACUCGGGGAACUGAAACAUCUAAGUACCCGAAGGAAGAGAAAUCAACCGAGAUUCCGAGAGUAGCGGCGAGCGAAAUCGGAUUAGCCCUUAAGCCAGUCUUGCGUUAGGUGAAUGUGCUGGAAAGCACAGCGAUACAGGGUGAUAGCCCCGUAACCGACAACGCAUUAUUAGUGAAAACGAGUAGGACGGGACACGUGAUAUCCUGUUUGAACAUGGGGGGACCAUCCUCCAAGGCUAAAUACUCCUGACUGACCGAUAGUGAACCAGUACCGUGAGGGAAAGGCGAAAAGAACCCCUGUGAGGGGAGUGAAAUAGAACCUGAAACCGUGUACGUACAAGCAGUAGGAGCCCACUUGUUGGGUGACUGCGUACCUUUUGUAUAAUGGGUCAGCGACUUAAUUUUAGUAGCAAGGUUAACCGUUUAGGGGAGCCGUAGGGAAACCGAGUCUUAACUGGGCGUCAUAGUUGCUAGGAUUAGACCCGAAACCAGGUGAUCUAGCCAUGGGCAGGUUGAAGGUGAGGUAACACUUACUGGAGGACCGAACCGACUAAUGUUGAAAAAUUAGCGGAUGACUUGUGGCUAGGGGUGAAAGGCCAAUCAAACCUGGAGAUAGCUGGUUCUCCCCGAAAGCUAUUUAGGUAGCGCCUCGGACGAAUACUACUGGGGGUAGAGCACUGUUAAGGCUAGGGGGUCAUCCCGACUUACCAACCCUUUGCAAACUCCGAAUACCAGUAAGUACUAUCCGGGAGACACACGGCGGGUGCUAACGUCCGUCGUGGAGAGGGAAACAACCCAGACCGCCAGCUAAGGUCCCAAAGUUAUAGCUAAGUGGGAAACGAUGUGGGAAGGCUCAGACAGCCAGGAUGUUGGCUUAGAAGCAGCCAUCAUUUAAAGAAAGCGUAAUAGCUCACUGGUCGAGUCGGCCUGCGCGGAAGAUUUAACGGGGCUAAGCUAUACACCGAAGCUGCGGCAAUAUGA